ACCGCAAUGGGCGAAAGCCUGACGGAGCAACGCCGCGUGAGUGAUGAAGGUCUUCGGAUCGUAAAACUCUGUUAUUAGGGAAGAACAUAUGUGUAAGUAACUGUGCACAUCUUGACGGUACCUAAUCAGAAAGCCACGGCUAACUACGUGCCAGCAGCCGCGGUAAUACGUAGGUGGCAAGCGUUAUCCGGAAUUAUUGGGCGUAAAGCGCGCGUAGGCGGUUUUUUAAGUCUGAUGUGAAAGCCCACGGCUCAACCGUGGAGGGUCAUUGGAAACUGGAAAACUUGAGUGCAGAAGAGGAAAGUGGAAUUCCAUGUGUAGCGGUGAAAUGCGCAGAGAUAUGGAGGAACACCAGUGGCGAAGGCGACUUUCUGGUCUGUAACUGACGCUGAUGUGCGAAAGCGUGGGGAUCAAACAGGAUUAGAUACCCC
rnacentral:rRNA from 1 species